rnacentral:rRNA from 1 species
AGCAGCCGCGGUAAUUCCAGCUCCAAUAGCGUAUAUUAAAGUUGUUGCAGUUAAAAAGCUCGUAGUUGAAUUUCGGGAUCAAUAUGUUGGUCGUGCCUCGGUACGUACUAGCUUAUUGGUUUCUCCUUUCUGAAGAACCAUGAUGUCAUUUAUUUGGUGUCGUGGGGAAUCAGGACUGUUACUUUGAAAAAUUAGAGUGUUUAAAGCAGGCUCACGCUUGAAUACAUUAGCAUGGAAUAAUGAAAUAGGACGUUUGAUUCUAUUUUGUUGGUUUUUAGGAUCGACGUAAUGAUUAAUAGGGAUAGUUGGGGGCAUUAGUAUUCAAUUGUCAGAGGUGAAAUUCUUGGAUUUAUUGAAGACUAACUACUGCGAAAGCAUUUGCCAAGGAUGUUUUCAUUAAUCAAGAACGAAAGUUAGGGGAUCGAAGACGAUCAGAUACCGUCGUAGUCUUAACCAUAAACUAUGCCGA